rnacentral:rRNA from 1 species
UACGGAGGGGGCUAGCGUUGUUCGGAAUUACUGGGCGUAAAGCGCACGUAGGCGGAUGCUUAAGUCAGGGGUGAAAUCCCGGGGCUCAACCCCGGAACGGCCUUUGAUACUGGGUGUCUGGAGGUCGGGAGAGGCGAGUGGAAUUCCGAGUGUAGAGGUGAAAUUCGUAGAUAUUAGGAAGAACACCGGUGGCGAAGGCGGCCCACUGGAUCGGUACUGACGCUGAGGUGCGAAAGCGUGGGGAGCAAACAGG